CCCUUAGAUGUUCUGGGCCGCACGCGUGCUACACUGAGUGGAUCAGCGGGUCAGGUUGCGCGAAAGCGUUUCCUAAUCUUUAAAUCCGCUCGUGAUGGGGAUUGACGGUUGCAAUUUUCUGUCAUGAACGAGGAAUACCUUGUAAGCGCGGGUCAUCAUCCCGCGCUGAAUACGUCCCCGCCCUUUGUACACACCGCCCGUCGCUCCUACCGAUUGAGUGGUCCGGUGAGGCUUUGGGAUCUGAGCGGAAAGAGCGUUUCGCUGUUUCUGCCCGGAAAACUCAGUCGAACCUUAUCAUUUAGAGGAAGGAGAAGUCGUAACA
rnacentral:rRNA from 1 species